rnacentral:rRNA from 1 species
UUGGAAUAAGGGGUGGGUAAGGACGGUGCCAGCCGCCGCGGUAAUACCGGCGCCUCAAGUGGUAGUCGCUUUUAUUGGGCCUAAAACGUCCGUAGCCGGUCUGAUACAUUCGUGGGUAAAUCAACCAGCUUAACUGGUUGAAUUCUGCGAGGACGGCCAAACUUGGGACCGGGAGAGGUGUGGGGUACGCUCAGGGUAGGGGUAAAAUCCUGUCAUCCUGAGCGGACCACCUGUUGCGAAGGCGCCACACUAGAACGGAUCCGACGGUCAGGGACGAAGCCUAGGGGCACGAACCGGAUUAGAUACCCGGGUAGUCCUAGGUGUAAACGCUGUGGACUUGAUGUUGGGGGUGCUCCGA